rnacentral:rRNA from 1 species
UACGGGGGGGGGCAAGCGUUGUUCGGAAUUACUGGGCGUAAAGGGCUCGUAGGCGGCCAACUAAGUCGGACGUGAAAUCCCUCGGCUCAACCGGGGAACUGCGUCCGAUACUGGAUGGCUUGAGUUCGGGAGAGGGAUGCGGAAUUCCAGGUGUAGCGGUGAAAUGCGUAGAUAUCAAGAGGAACACCUGAGGUGAAGACGGGUUGCUGGGCUGACACUGACGCUGAGGAGCGAAAGCGUGGGGAGCGAACAGG